rnacentral:rRNA from 1 species
UAAGCGGAGGAGAAGAAACUAACAAGGAUUUCCCUAGUAACGGCGAGCGAACCGGAAGUAGCCCAGCUUGAAAAUCUCGUGGUUCCGCCACGCGAAUUGUAGUCUGGAGAAGCGUCCUCUGCAGCGGACCGGGCCCAAGUUCCCUGGAACGGGACGUCGGAGAGGGUGAGAGCCCCGUCGAGCUCGGACCCUGCUGCUCCACGAGGCGCUGUCGACGAGUCGGGCUGUUUGGGAAUGCAGCCCUAAGCGGGUGGUAAAUUCCAUCCAAGGCUAAAUAUGGGCAAGAGACCGAUAGCGAACAAGUACCGCGAGGGAAAGAUGAAA